rnacentral:misc_RNA from 1 species
GAUGAAGAACGCAGCGAAAUGCGAUAAGUAGUGUGAAUUGCAGAAUUCAGUGAAUCAUCGAAUCUUUGAACGCACAUUGCGCCCCUCGGUAUUCCGUGGGGCAUGCCUGUUCGAGCGUCAUUUACCCCUCAAGCACUGCUUGGUGUUGGGCGUCUGUCCCGCUUCGCGCGCGGACUCGCCCCAAAGGUAUUGGCAGCGGUCGUGCCAGCUUCUCGCGCAGCACAUUGCGCUUCUCGAGGCGGUCGAUCGGCGUCCACGAAGCUCACCUCCACCGUUUGACCUCGGAUCAGGUAGGGAUACCCGCUGAACUUAAGCAUAUCCAUAAGCGGAGGA